AUUUUGGACAAUGGGGGAAACCCUGAUCCAGCCAUCCCGCGUGUAUGAUGAAGGCCUNNNGGUUGNACAGUACUUUUGGCAGANAAANAAUGGUAUCUCCUAAUACGAGAUACUGCUGACGGUAUCUGCAGAAUAAGCACUGGCUAACUACUUGACAGCAGCCGCGGUAAUACGUAGGGUUCAAGCGUUAAUCGGAAUUUCUGGUAUUAAAGCGUGUGUAGGCGGUUCGGAAAGAAAGAUGUGAAAUCCCAGGGCUCAACCUUGGAACUGCAUUUUUAACUGCCGAGCUAGAGUAUGUCAGAGGGGGGUAGAAUUCCACGUGUAGCAGUGAAAUGCGUAGCUAUGUGGAGGAAUACCGAUGGCGAAGGCAGCCCCCUGGGAUAAUACUGACGCUCAGACACGAAAGCGUGGGGAGCAAAC
rnacentral:rRNA from 1 species